rnacentral:tRNA from 2 species
AGGGGUGUAGCUCAGUUGGUAGAGCGUUGGUCUCCAAAACCAAAGGUCGUGGGUUCGAUCCCUGCCACCCCUGCCA